GAUAGGGAAGCCGUAGAGAAAUCGAGUCCGAAUAGGGCGAUCAGUCGCUGGGUGUAGACCCGAAACCAAGUGAUCUACUCAUGGCCAGGAUGAAGGUGCGGUAACACGCCCUGGAGGUCCGAACCCACUAAUGUUGAAAAAUUAGGGGAUGAGCUGUGGGUAGGGGUGAAAGGCUAAACAAACUUGGAAAUAGCUGGUUCUCUCCGAAAACUAUUUAGGUAGUGCCUCAAGUAUCACCAUCGGGGGUAGAGCACUGUUAUGGCUAGGGGGUCAUUGCGACUUACCAAACCAUUGCAAACUCCGAAUACCGAUGAGUGCGAGCUUGGGAGACAGACGUCGGGUGCUAACGUCCGGCGUCAAGAGGGAAACAACCCAGACCGCCAGCUAAGGUCCCAAAGAUUGGCUAAGUGGAAAACGAAGUGGGAAGGCUAAAACAGUCAGGAUGUUGGCUUAGAAGCAGCCAUCAUUUAAAGAAAGCGUAAUAGCUCACUGAUCGAGUCGUCCUGCGCGGAAGAUGUAACGGGGCUAAGCCAGUCACCGAAGCUGCGGAUAU
rnacentral:rRNA from 1 species